rnacentral:rRNA from 1 species
CCGUUGUGCUAUACGAGCGGCCGAUGUCUGAUUAGCUAGUUGGUGAGGUAAAGGCUCACCAAGGCGACGAUCAGUAGCGGGUCUGAGAGGAUGAUCCGCCACACUGGGACUGAGACACGGCCCAGACUCCUACGGGAGGCAGCAGUGGGGAAUUUUGGACAAUGGGCGCAAGCCUGAUCCAGCCAUGCCGCGUGUCUGAAGAAGGCCUUCGGGUUGUAAAGGACUUUUGUCAGGGAGCAAAACUUACUGGUUAAUACCUGGUGAGGUUGAGAGUACCUGAAGAAUAAGCACCGGCUAACUACGUGCCAGCAGCCGCGGUAAUACGUAGGGUGCAAGCGUUAAUCGGAAUUACUGGGCGUAAAGCGUGCGCAGGCGGACUUUUAAGCCAGAUGUGAAAGCCCCGAGCUUAACUUGGGAAUUGCGUUUGGAACUGGGAGUCUAGAGUCUGUCAGAGGGGGAUGGAAUUCCACGUGUAGCAGUGAAAUGCGUAGAGAUGUGGAGGAACACCGAUGGCG